rnacentral:rRNA from 1 species
CGAAAGCCUGACGGAGCAAGACCGCGUGGGGGAGGAAGGCUCUAGGGUUGUAAACCCCUUUUCUUUGGGAAGAACAAAAUGACGGUACCAAAGGAAUCAGCCUCGGCUAACUCCGUGCCAGCAGCCGCGGUAAUACGGAGGAGGCAAGCGUUAUCCGGAAUUAUUGGGCGUAAAGCGUCCGUAGGUGGUUAAUCAAGUCUGCUGUUAAAGAGCGGAGCUUAACUCCGUUUAAGCGGUGGAAACUGGUUGACUAGAGAGUGGUAGGGGUAGAGGGAAUUCCCAGUGUAGCGGUGAAAUGCGUAGAUAUUGGGAAGAACACCGGUGGCGAAAGCGCUCUGCUGGGCCGCAACUGACACUCAGGGACGAAGGCUAGGGGAGCG